ensembl:lncRNA
UAAAUAUCAACACACAUGCACAUAUUAAUAAACACACCUCCCCAAAGCUGGAUAGAAGUCAUUUCUACUUCACGCUGGGUCAGAUGCUUUCAGUAAUUCAUCCGCCCACAAGUGUAUAAUAAGGUUAUUCUAACCCCACCCCGCUGGGACCUCUGGCAACCAAACAAAUGUGUAAUCUAAACACCCAGCCCACAUGCAUAUCUCAUCAAACAGCAACGUCAGUGGAUGCACAAAGGCAUAAAACAAGGAACUGUUUGGCUCCGUCUGAGACCUCGGAGUCAGGGGAAUCGACGUAUAAAAAAAAUAUGGAAGACUGAUGCAGGAGAUUGAGCGCAACAACAAUGUAGUUUGUCGAGUUUUUUUUUUUUUUUUUUUUUUUUUUUACACACAAAUUAUUUUUGGAUAAUAAAUUGAUGUCAUUGGCUAAAAAGCAGCUAUUUUGUUUACGUUACCCCUUGAAGGAAAGUAGGCCAAAUAGUCGAGAAUGGAAGAGGAUAAUGUUAAUCUCUUGCUCCAUUAUAGAGCUGGCCUUUUUUUUUUUUUCCCCUUUCUUUUUUUUUUAAAAAUGGUAAUUUUUUUUUUCAUUAAGUCUUCUUCCUUUGCUACUUUAUUGGUGCGUAUUCUAAAGUGGUUACCCAGUAAAUGUUUAACGUAUAAGCUUCAACUGCUGAAAAGAACCACAGGCAAUUGAAACUAUGUGGAGAUUUGUACACAGACAUCAAUGGGACAUUUUCAUCUACAUGACUAGUAAAUGUGCUGCCAUGGAAACUUGGCCCUGUAUUACUGAUGGCAAAUAGUCUAGAACAAAGCACUAGGGUGGAAAUUCCUGUAUCUGACAAAUAUCCUUGCAGUUAAACUAGCUUACCCACGCUAGUUGAGCUAGCCACAAGUCCCCCCAACACACAAACAUAUCCCAAGUUGAAAGGUUUAAAAGGUUGUGUAUUUAAUGGCCUAAUCAUUUCAAAGUUAUCUAAGCUCAUCUUAUUGAUUUAAAAUAAAUAUAAUCCAUUAUUAUCAUUACUACUACUACUACUACUACUACUACUACUACUACACUUACUUAGCACUUAGUUCCUCCUACGCCGAGCGGCGCAUCGGGCAGCUAAUGACCUCCAUCGAUGUCGGUCAGCGGCAACUGCUUUGGCUUCAUCCCAGGCAAUGUCAACGGUUCUCAGAUCAUUC